AUUGAACGCUGGCGGCAGGCCUAACACAUGCAAGUCGAACGAGCAGCGGACGGGUGAAUAAUGUAUGGGGAUGUGCGCGAUAGAGGGGGAUCACUACGGGAAACCGUGGAUAAUACCGCCUACUAUCGGAUGAACCCAUAUGGAUUUAGCUAGUAGGUGGGGUAAAGGCUCACCUAGGCGACGAUCUAUAGCUGGUCUGAGAGGAUGAUCAGCCACACUGGGACUGAGACACGGCCCAGACUCCUACGGGAGGCAGCAGUGGGGAAUAUUGCACAAUGGGCGCAAGCCUGAUACAGCCAUGCCGCGUGUAUGAAGAAGGCCUUCGGGUUGUAAAGUACUUUCAGCGGGGAGGCGUUACCCGCAGAAGAAGCACAGGCUAACUCCGUGCCAGCAGCCGCGGUAAUUC
rnacentral:rRNA from 1 species